rnacentral:rRNA from 1 species
GACGAACGCUGGCGGCGUGCCUAAUACAUGCACGUCGAGCGCAGGAAACUGACGGAACUCUUCGGAGGGAAGGCAGUGGAAUGAGCGGCGGACGGGUGAGUAACACGUAAGGAACCUGCCUCAAGGAUUGGGAUAACUACGAGAAAUCGGAGCUAAUACCGGAUAGUUCAACGGACCGCAUGGUCCGCUGAUGAAAGGCGCUACGGCGUCACCUUGCGAUGGCCUUGCGGUACAUUAGCUAGUUGGUGGGGUAACGGCCCACCAAGGCGACGAUGCAUAGCCGACCUGAGAGGGUGAUCGGCCACACUGGGACUGAGACACGGCCCAGACUCCUACGGGAGGCAGCAGUAGGGAAUCUUCCACAAUGGACGAAAGUCUGAUGGAGCAACGCCGCGUGAGUGAUGAAGGUUUUCGGAUCGUAAAACUCUGUUGUAGGGAAGAACACGUACGAGAGGAAAUGCUCGUACCUUGACGGUACCUUACGAGAAAGCCACGGCUAACUACGUGCCAGCAGCCGCCGUAA